rnacentral:rRNA from 1 species
GACGAACCGUGCGAACGUUAUUCGGAAUCACUGGGCUUAAAGGGCGCGUAGGCGGGUCCGUAAGUCAGGGGUGAAAUCCCACGGCCCAACCGUGGAAGUGCCUCUGAUACUGCGGGCCUCGAGGGGGAUAGGGGCGUGCGGAACUCAGGGUGGAGCGGUGAAAUGCGUAGAUAUCCUGAGGAACACCGGUGGCGAAAGCGGCGCGCUGGAUCCCUUCUGACGCUGAGGCGCGAAAGCCAGGGGAGCAAACGGG